CGACCGACCUGUCCUCGAGGUAGGACCCGA
rnacentral:sRNA from 1 species